UCCAUAUAAGACUGUCUUGAAAGCACACAGUGCUGUUGUGUUAAAAGCCGAGAGUGUGGCUGACAAGGUUGAGUGGCUAAACAAGCUGAGAAAUGUCAUCCAGUCUAAAGGAGGUCAAGUUACUGGCGAAUCUGGCCUUACCAUGCGUCAAAGUCAUUCUGAAGGUUCUCUUGUGAGUUACUCAUUGUUACACAUUGAUUUCUGUUGUCCAUAUUUUUACUUAAUUGGAUAGCAUAAGUAGAUAGGUUCACUUCAUCCGUCUGCUGUAAGUUGGGACUUCCUACUUACCCAGUUAGACUUAAUUUUUAAGAGACAAAAUGAUAGCUUUUCAAGAUGGAAAUCUGUUGAACAUUUAUCUUGCUAUUUUCUUGCUCAAAUUUGUAGGAUACAAUGACUAGAAGGCCAGCAGACCCUGAAGAAG
rnacentral:misc_RNA from 1 species